GACGAACGCUGGCGGCGUGCUUAACACAUGCAAGUCGAACGGAAAGGCCCUGCUUUUGUGGGGUGCUCGAGUGGCGAACGGGUGAGUAACACGUGAGUAACCUGCCCUUGACUUUGGGAUAACUUCAGGAAACUGGGGCUAAUACCGGAUAGGAGCUCCUGCUGCAUGGUGGGGGUUGGAAAGUUUCGGCGGUUGGGGAUGGACUCGCGGCUUAUCAGCUUGUUGGUGGGGUAGUGGCUUACCAAGGCUUUGACGGGUAGCCGGCCUGAGAGGGUGACCGGCCACAUUGGGACUGAGAUACGGCCCAGACUCCUACGGGAGGCAGCAGUGGCGAAUAUGGCACAAUGGGCGGAAGCCUGAUGCAGCAACGCCGCGUGCGGGAUGACGGCCUUCGGGUUGUAAACCGCUUUCGCCUGUGACGAAGCGUGAGUGACGGUAAUGGGUAAAGAAGCACCGGCUAACUACGUG
rnacentral:rRNA from 1 species